rnacentral:rRNA from 1 species
GACGAACGCUGGCGGCGUGCUUAACACAUGCAAGUCGAACGGAAAGGCCCUGCUUUUGCGGGGUGCUCGAGUGGCGAACGGGUGAGUAACACGUGAGUAACCUGCCCUUGACUUUGGGAUAACUUCAGGAAACUGGGGCUAAUACCGGAUAGGAGCUCCUGCUGCAUGGUGGGGGUUGGAAAGUUUCGGCGGUUGGGGAUGGACUCGCGGCUUAUCAGCUUGUUGGUGGGGUAGUGGCUUACCAAGGCUUUGACGGGUAGCCGGCCUGAGAGGGUGACCGGCCACAUUGGGACUGAGAUACGGCCCAGACUCCUACGGGAGGCAGCAGUGGGGAAUAUUGAACAAUGGGCGGAAGCCUGAUGCAGCAACGCCGCGUGCGGGAUGACGGCCUUCGGGUUGUAAACCGCUUUCGCCUGUGACGAAGCGUGAGUGACGGUAAUGGGUAAAGAAGCACCGGCUAACUACGUG